rnacentral:misc_RNA from 1 species
GGAGUUACUAUAAUCUCAUUGGAAAAUGGGGAAAAAUCAUUAGAGGGAAGAAACUUCAGGUUGGAAUGGAGAUCAGACUACACUGGGAUAAUGGAUGCUUAUUCUUCUCAGUUCCUCAGUUGUAGCAUUGGACAACCUGUAAAUGUAGGUGAGCCACCAAAAGACUUUUCCAUUUCAACGUGGAAUGUGGCAUUGAAAAUUAGAUUAUUCAGGCGAAUGGCUUGGCAGAGCUGGAUUUAAAUUUAUCCAGGCAGCAAGUGGCUGACUAAGCACAAAAUUUAUCAGGCUCUUGAGAUUUCAAAGACAAAAUA